GUUAAGACAAAGUGCUUUUCCCAGGUCUGCAAAAUUUGAUAUUCUAGUACAGGCUUAUAAUUAGCUUUUAAAUACAACAGCAAUUUUUCAGUGGUUUCACUCAUACAUCAGGGAUGUUGCACGUCUAUGUGCAACAUGUAUAUUGUAUAGGGUGUGUGUGUGUGUGUGUGUAUGUGUGUGUGUCUCCCAAUCACAUCUGGGGCCUCUGUGACCUGCAAUUCAACAUGGGGUUUGUCACCAAGCCUCUUUAGACUGUCAGCUUUAUUGGUGCCAUUUUUUUAAAGUUUGUUUUGUUCCCUAUGCUAAUAAAGCUUGUCUCUGCCUCAAUCAAAGUAUAUCAUCUCUCCCUUUUUCUCUUGUAAGUAAGGCAGCAAUCUGUUCUGUUUAAAUGCUUCAUCAUCUUUGCUCUCCCCCUCCCUGUUUCCCUAGAUUUUCGAGAUUGUUGACUAUUAUGUAACAGAUGGCCCAACAGACCUCCGACUCUUUUGCGGUGUUGGCCAGCUUGGCUCAGGAAAAUAGCAGCACUGGAUUCCACAGGGCUGGGCAGACCUCAAGAGAUGUACAAUCAUGGCAGAAGGGGAAGCAAACACAUUCUUCUUCACAUGGCAGCAGGAAGGAGAAGAGUGAGAGUGGCUUGGAGUGUGUUUGUUAAUGGAGGCAGUGGUGAAAUUUUGCUGGAGACAGGGAUGCCAGAGUCAGCUCCCUGGAGGAACCAACCUGGGACAGUGAGACUUGUCUUCAGUUUCAGCCUGAGAUUCUUCUUCCAAUUCAAAGGGCUAUUGUAA
rnacentral:lncRNA from 1 species